GUCGCGGCGGGCGCAAGGAGAGGUGGCGGCGGGCACCAUGGCUGGAAGGCUGCAGCCGACAGGCGGCGGGGUGUGCGCGGCCGCCUACCCCGACGCCUCCGCCGGAUUCCCCCCGCACCUCCAGGCGGGCGCGAUGCGGCGCCGCUUCUGGGGCGUGUUCAACUGCAUGUGCGCCGGCGCGUUCGGGGCCUUGGCUGCAGCCUCCGCCAAGCUGGCCUUCGGCAGCGAGGUCGAGCCCGGGGCGCUGUGGCGGCGGGCCAGCGGGUGGGGCCGGGAGGAGGAAUGGCGCUACGGGGCAGCGGGGCUCCAGGGUGAAGCGGGGCCGGGGGCGCCAGGGGCCGCCUCACCCCCGAUGGUCUGUUGGGCCCCGUCUGCAGCCGGGCACUACAGACAACGUGGGCAGGAGAGCAUCCUUCGACUCGAAAUCAUGCCCACCCUUCGUCCAAUGUGAACGUGGGCUUCUGCGUCUUAGGCAUUAUUAUGAUGGCUACCACCAAUUCUCUGAUGUGGACGUUCUUUAGCCGGGGCCUCAGUUUCUCCAUGUCUUCGGCCAUUGCAUCUGUCACAGUGACUUUUUCAAAUAUCCUCAGCUCGGAGAAAGAUGAAGGCCAUUCAAAGCUCUGCAAGGUGUGUUCAUGUAUGUGAGUCAGGAACACAGCCAAGGCCAGUCAUGAAGGCUGCUGAGAGCUGGUGGCCGGGCCUCCCUGGGCAGUUCAUGAAAAGGGCAAGAAGAAGUCCAUCUUGGAGCAGACGUUGUCCUGAGGGGACCCAGCUUCCCAUCCAGACACCCGCUGGAUACAUAAAGAUGGUUGGUGCUGACCCAGACCCUCUCAACUCUCGAUUCAACAUACAUGCCUGCAGGAGACCACAGGACACAAUAAGAUUUUCUCUAAGAGGAAGGUUGGUCAUUUUUCAAAAAGCAGACAGAUACAUGUCUCCAUCUAAGAAGGUGGGAGGUGUUCACUGUGUCUCUACUCAUUUUGGAGGUAUGGUAUCUUGAUAAGAGAAUGAAUUGUGUAUCUGUAUUUGUCUUUCUGGUGUGCAUCCUGGGCGAUGGGUUAGACUUUACUCUGGAGCUGGCAAUUUGACUUCCAGGUUCAACAGCCAAUGGCCUGAUGGGUCAGUAUUACUGGGUUUUUUUCCUGGUUUUAAAAUUUUACUUAUUUCUUUUUAAUGUGUAUAAUUCAGUAGUUUGUUAUUAUAGUCACAGAGUUUUCAACCAUCACCACUGUCUAAUUCCAGGACAUCUUAUCACCACAAAAAUAAACUCCCACACCAUUAGCAGUCACUCUGCAUCCAGCUUCCCCCCGACCCUCUGGCAAUCACUACUCUGCUUUCUGUCUCUAUGGAUUUGCCUAUUCUGGACACUUCAUAUAAGUAGAAACACACAAUAUAUGGCCUUUUGUGUCUGGCUGCUUUCACUUAGCAUAACAUCAAUAUUUUAAAGGCACAUCCAUGUUGUAACAUGUAUCAGUACUUUAUUCCUUUUUAUGACUGAAUAAUACUCCAUUGUGUGGAUGUACCACAUUUUGUUUAUCCAUUCAUCUUGUGAUGGACAUAUGGGUUGUUUCCAGUUUUUGGCUGUUGAAUAAUGAUGUUAAGAAUAUUUGUGUAAGGCUUCCAUAGUGGCGCAGUGGUUAGGAAUCUGCCUGCCAAUGCAGGGGACACUGGUUUGAGCCCUGGGCUGGGAAGAUCCCACAUGCCGUGGAGCAGCUAAGCCCGUGCGCCACAACUACUGAGCCUGUGCUCUAGAGCCCACGAGCCACAACUACUGAGCCCAUGCAACUAGAGCCUGUGUUCUGCAACAAGAGAAGCCACCGCAAUGAGAAGCCCACACACUGCAAUGCAGAGUAGCUCCCGCUUGCCGCAACUAGAGAAAGCCUGUGUGCAGCAAUGAAGACCCAGUGCAGCCAAUAAAUUAAAAAAAAAAAAAAAAAGACCAAAGACAGUAGCCUCAAGGCUACCAUGCUGGGGUGUUGGUAGGAGAGGCUAAUCCUUUUUGAGACCUCCUGUCUGCUGGGCUUGCACUAGUAGCAGUCACAGCACACCAUGUGGUGGCAGUGGUGCUUACACAGUGCUUUCAUGAAUAACAUUUCAUUUGGUCUUCUGACAGCUCCGGGAGGUCAGGACCUUCCAGGGGCAUGGAAAAUAUAUGGCAGUCAGCGUGGAAUAAAGGUAGCAUUUUAUAAAAGAGAGAUUGUGCAAUUCAUGAUAUUGGGACAACUGGCUAAUAUUUAGAGAAAAAAUAAAGCUGGAUUGCAACCUUGCCUUAUACCACAGUAAAUUCCAGAAAGAGCCACAGUAAAAGAGAAGAAAAUGAAGGCAAUAUGAUAAAUUAUCUUGAAGUGAACAUGUUUCACAGGAAACAGGAAACCUAGAAACAGAAAGGAAAAAAUAAAUAAAACUGACUAUAGAAGUUAAAAAACAUACGUGUGGCAAAGCUUACAGGGUCAGAAGGUAAUGGAACUGUGAAAAGUACUUUCAAUACACCUAAUAAGCUAAAGCUAUUCCGUAAUAUAAAGAGAGCUCUUACAGAUCUAUUAAAAAAAAAAAAAGACCAACAUUCCAAAAGUUAAAUGGACAAAAAGCAGUACUAGGUGGGUCAUCGUAUCAUAAUAUAUGAAAAGAUUGACCUGACUGGUAAUGAAACAAUAAUAAGAUUUCAUGUUUUCACCCAUCAGAUUGGCCAAGAUUAAAAAUUUAGUAGUAAACAUAUUUUUUGUUUGUUGGUUUGUUUUUUAAGACAUCUUACCAUCUUUUUAUGGGAGUAUCAUUGAUGCAGUCUCUGGAAGGCUCUUUGGUGACAUUUACUGAAAUUAAAGAUGCACGUAUCCUGUGACACAGCUAUUCCACUUUGGAAGAUUUGUUACAAAUAUUGUCACACAUAAGUGCAAAGACACACGUCCAAGGAAGUUAUAGCAUAUAAGAAGAGUUGAAACAAUCUAGAUGCCCACCCAGAGCCAACAGUAGCUGCCAAAAAGAAUGAGAUCUGCUUGGGUGGUUAGGAAAUAAAUUCCAAGAUAGCUUUUAGAGAAAAGAAAAGAAAAAAGCAAGAUACAGAAUGGUAUGUUGAGAAAACUCCCACUUGAGUAAAUAAAUAUUUGUUUAUGGCAGAGAAAACUGGAAAGAUACUUAGACACUUCAUAACAAUUGCCUCUGGAGAGAGUAUCUGGGGGUCUGGGGUGGGAGAGAGAUUUAAUUUUUGCUGUGGGCAUGUCUCACUUUCUGUCCUGUUUGGGAUUCUUUGCGAUUCCUAAAUAAGAAGAUUCAGUGUCUCUCAUCUAGUCUGGAAAUUCUCAGCUAUUAUCACUUUCCUGCUGCUGCUACCUCGUCCUUUUUUUUCUUUUUUAAUAUUUAUUUUAUUUAUUUGGCUGUGCCGGGUGUUAGUUGCAGCACGUGGGAUCUUCGUUGCAGUGUAUGGGAUCUUUUAGUUGCAGCAUGAUGAAUCUUUAGUUGUGGCAUGUGAACUCUUAGUUGUGGCAUGUGA